UCUCCCACAAUCAUCUGGCAUAGCGGCUCACGAGAGAAGCGCCUGAGAGCGCGAUUACGCACUUCACUUCUUCAGAGCGUGCGGAAAAUGUAUUAAUUAAAGGAUCAUAGGAAUUGACAGCAUAUCCAGACACAUAGACCACUGGGGUAAAAACACUCCUGGGAAGGAACACUGACUUAUCUGCAUGCCCAUGGAAUUACAAGAUGGACUAAGAUAUAUAUGGAAAACCUACCAGGUGCACCAUCAAUGACGUCACUUCUGAUUUCGGUCCCACGGACAACGUCACUUCCGGUUUCUGGCACCAUAGAUGAUGUCACUUCCGGUUCCGGCACCACAGUCAACGGCACUUCGAUUUUGGCCUUUAAAGCCACCAUCAUUUCACCAUCCAGUCAGUUCAGUUCUAUGGAGGAAUAUUUCGGACAAAAUGAAAUAAAUAAAUAAAUGCGUAAAUAAAUAAAAGUACUG